rnacentral:rRNA from 1 species
UGCCAGCAGCCGCGGUAAUACGAAGGGUGCUAGCGUUGUUCGGAAUUACUGGGCGUAAAGAGCAUGUAGGCGGAUGAAUUAGUCAGAGGUGAAAGCCCCGAGCUCAACCAAGGAACUGCGUUUGAAACUGCCAGGCUUGAGUCCCGGAGAGGGUAGUGGAAUUCCCAGUGUAGUGGUGAAAUUCGUAGAUAUUGGGAAGAACACCAGUGGCGAAGGCGGCUAACUGGCUCGGUACUGACGCUGAGAUGCGAAAGCGUGGGGAGCAAACAGGAUUAGAUA